GCAAACUUGGUCAUUUAGAGGAAGUAAAAGUCGUAACAAGGUUUCCGUAGGUGAACCUGCGGAAGGAUCAUUAUUGAAAACAUUGUAGAGGGAGGUUCUAGAGCUGGCUCUUCACGGGGCAAGUGCUCGCCUUUCUCUCAAUCUUCAUCCACCUGUGCACCUUUUGUAGAGAGACUUGUUUGAGAAAGGGAGCCCGUAAAACGGUUCCUCGGUAUCAGGGAAGGCCUUUCUAUGUUUUUUUCACACUCUAAAUGUAUGUCUUGAAUGUCUUUUUAAUAGGGGAAACCCUUUAAAAACUAUACAACUUUCAGCAACGGAUCUCUUGGCUCUCGCAUCGAUGAAGAACGCAGC
rnacentral:misc_RNA from 1 species